CAGUCGCCGCGGGAAUACGGAGGGGGCUAGCGUUGUUCGGAAUCACUGGGCGUAAAGGGCGCGUAGGCGGGUCUUUAAGUCAGAGGUGAAAUCCUGGAGCUCAACUCCAGAACUGCCUUUGAUACUGAAGAUCUUGAGUUCGGGAGAGGUGAGUGGAACUGCGAGUGUAGAGGUGAAAUUCGUAGAUAUUCGCAAGAACACCAGUGGCGAAGGCGGCUCACUGGCCCGAUACUGACGCAGAGGCACAAAAGCGUGGGGAGCAAACAGGAUUAGAGACCCCGGUAGUCCCUGUCUCUUAUAC
rnacentral:rRNA from 1 species